GCAAGUCGAGCGAACGGACGAGAAGCUUGCUUCUCUGAUGUUAGCGGCGGACGGGUGAGUAACACGUGGAUAACCUACCUAUAAGACUGGGAUAACUUCGGGAAACCGGAGCUAAUACCGGAUAAUAUUUUGAACCGCAUGGUUCAAAAGUGAAAGACGGUCUUGCUGUCACUUAUAGAUGGAUCCGCGCUGCAUUAGCUAGUUGGUAAGGUAACGGCUUACCAAGGCAACGAUGCAUAGCCGACCUGAGAGGGUGAUCGGCCACACUGGAACUGAGACACGGUCCAGACUCCUACGGGAGGCAGCAGUAGGGAAUCUUCCGCAAUGGGCGAAAGCCUGACGGAGCAACGCCGCGUGAGUGAUGAAGGUCUUCGGAUCGUAAAACUCUGUUAUUAGGGAAGAACAUAUGUGUAAGUAACUGUGCACAUCUUGACGGUACCUAAUCAGAAAGCCACGGCUAACUACGUGCCAGCAGCCGCGGUAAUACGUAGGUGGCAAGCGUUAUCCGGAAUUAUUGGGCGUAAAGCGCGCGUAGGCGGUUUUUUAAGUCUGAUGUGAAAGCCCACGGCUCAACCGUGGAGGGUCAUUGGAAACUGGAAAACUUGAGUGCAGAAGAGGAAAGUGGAAUUCCAUGUGUAGCGGUGAAAUGCGCAGAGAUAUGGAGGA
rnacentral:rRNA from 1 species